AGCUCCAAUAGCGUAUAUUAAAGUUGUUGCAGUUAAAAAGCUCGUAGUUGGAUUUCUGUUGGGAAUAGCCGGUCCGCUCUUUGAGUGUGUACUUGGUCAAUCUCAGCAUCCUUCUGGUGUGCAUAUUCCACUUCAUUGUGUGAGUAUGUAUUUCCAGGAAUUUUACUUUGAGAAAAUUAGAGUGUUUCAAGCAGGCUUGUUGCCUUGAAUACUACAGCAUGGAAUAAUAAGAUAGGAUUUCGGUUCUAUUUUGUUGGUUUCUAGGACUGAAGUAAUGAUUAAUAGGGACAGUUGGGGGCAUUCGUAUUUAACUGUCAGAGGUGAAAUUCUUAGAUUUGUUAAAGACGGACUACUGCGAAAGCAUUUGCCAAGGAUGUUUUCAUUAAUCAAGAACGAAAGU
rnacentral:rRNA from 1 species